ensembl:lncRNA
UGAGUGAAGUCGUCAAGCAAAAUUCUCCAAAACAAGCAAAACACAAUACAGAGGAUGAGAACUCGAGCAUUUAGUUGGGUUUCUGAUAUUUCGGACACGCUGUACAUCAGGAUUUCUGUGAAGCUGCUUCGGGACAACGCAUGGCUCUGAGGACGGGGUCCAUUUCCAGACUGGUUCUUCCCAAAAGUUCUUCUCCUCCUCCUCCUCCUCAUGAGCUCUUCCUCACCAGCGUCACCUCUGGCUUUUUGAUUAUUCAGCAUCUGUAUCCAGAUGUUAAGUCUUUGGUUAAACUUGCUAUACGCAUAAAACCAAAUCAUAUUACAUAGUUAUGGGUUAAUGAUGUUUUUUUUAUUGGUGAAUUUUCAGAUUUUCAGAUGCAGUUUGAUUCUGAAGAGGGAAACCAUGAGAGAAUGUAAAGAAUGAGAUUGAAAACAUUUAAAACAGGAAAUGUUCAACUCGGUCAACCUGCAGAACUUUAAAUCAGCAGCUCAACAUCUUAUCAGCUCGAUUCAUUAACCUGAUUUUCAUCUGCUAUUAAAAUAUAUUAUUUAUUUUUAUUUUGCAUCCACGCACUAGUAUCUAAGCGCGCGAGCCAUUUUGGUUAGAUACGAAUGCAUUAAAAAAAAGGGUUUUCCUGACUCUAAAUAAUAUCAAUAAUAUUAAAUACAACACAUUUAUCUCCGCAGAUACCUUUCCUCUCUUAUCUUUUUAAACACAUUGUUAAAUAUCUUCAUUAAAAAAAAAAAAAAAAAAUAGACGUUAAGAUGCUAACGCUGCGACGUUAGCCAUGUUUGCUAAACGAAGCUCGUGCCCCAAAUCCAUAGCUCUUUUUGUGAAGGCGGUGAGCGACACUCGGUCGAAAAGAGAAGGAGGCAGCUCAAUUCAACGCGUAAUGCGCAUGCGCCGGACAUUCAAGACGAACAAACUUUAUUGUAAUGCAAGUAAUAUUUUAAAUUCAUACACAAAAUCUGUAGCGUUAAAAGAUCUCUCAUUUAAUAAACGUUACUGUUACAUGGACACGUUUCUUUGUGCAAUGAUAUUUCGCAGAUUCUCAUGGAUGAUGCAGUAGAAAAAAUAACCAAUUAAAUAACGACAAUGUUAGAACACAACAACAAUAAAAACAACACAUAAGAAGAAACUUCUCUGAGACCUUCAUGAAGACCUCGGAAAUAAAGAAACACAACACAAGCCAGUGUGAAGUAACCGUGGAGCAGCUUAGACGGCUCACUGGCCACUUUAAUAGGAACACAUGGACCCUGCUCAUGCAUGCAAUCAUCCAACUGAACAGACGCCUGGUCUUUUUCCAAUCUUCACCUGUACAGUUUGGGUGAGCCUGUGAUUUGGUCUUGUGCAGUUGAUGCUUUUCUGCUCAGCACGUUUGUAAAGUGUGGUUACAACAAACUUCCUGUCAACUCGAACCAGUCUGACCAUUCUCCUCUGACCAUCUCUCUCAUCAUCGAGGAGUUUCCGGCAACACGUCGUACAGCCUUGCUGUGAGUGAAAAAUCCCAGGAGAUUCUGAAAUAUCAACCGAAGAGCUUGACCUGUAUCUUCAUGAUGUUAUGCACUGAGCUACUGAUACACGACUGGCUGAUCGGAUAACCGCACGAACGUUCCUAUUAAAGCGGCCGGGGAAAGAGCGACGAUUCAAGCACAAAAAAUGCAGCAACUGGACGUUCUUCCAGCGUUUUCUUUCCCUCCUCCAAAUUAAGAAAGAUUACGAGAGUAAAAACGUAACUUCAGUUAAAACACGGUGAGAAAAUAAAAAAGAGAAAAACACACCUGCUUGAAUUCAGCUGCUAGCUUUCCAGCCACUGCAAUAAAAAAA